rnacentral:lncRNA from 1 species
UACGACGAUUUUACAACGCUUUUUAAUAUUUUUUUAAUUUUUAUUUUUAAUUUUUUACAACGAUUUUAAAACGAUUUUUAUUAUUUUUUUUUUAUUUUUACAACGAUUUUACAACGAUUUUUAUUAUUUUUAUUAUUUUUAUUUAUUUAUUUUACGACGAUUUUACAACGAUUUUUUAAUUUUUUUUUAAAUUUUCCGGCGAUGGUGACUCCGGUGGUGAUAGCUCCUCCGG